AUAACGAAAGUAGCCGGAGCGGUCGUAAUGCACACAUUGACACAACUUCGCAAGCAUGAAAUUGACGAAUUCAACCUAAAGUCAAAAUUAUAGGAACUUUACGUAGGUCUACAGUUUUAAUUUUGGACUCAUGCACUAGGAAUAUCAUAUCAGCAGAAUUGUGCCACUGAAUCAAAGGGAACUCUUUUUUUUUAGGUACGCAUGAUCAAUGUAACUUCCUCGAUGGUGUGUUGGCUGUUUGCCCAUGUGUAUUUCGGGGUAUAGGAGUAGCCUCCCCUUUUAAAGAUCAAAAAUGGUGAUUUUACAGUGCGGCAUGCAGUCUGGUCUUCAACGAAGAGUUUUGACACCUGUAAUACCCAUAUUUCUACCAUUCACCUCUGUAACCUUUGUUGAGUUCAUCAGACUGUCACUAGGCAACACUAAAGAUUUCCACUUAUUGCUUUUCUGUCCAAGACAGGAAGUUGAGGAACAAAGUUGACAGGACAUCCUGAACUGUCUUCGCUACCAGCUUAUGAGGGAACCAGCUGCAGUGGACAAAGUAUGUUACAUCAUAGGAUAAUAGCAUUGAAUUGGAUUCUUGAACCAGAGCCAUGUGAACCUGGUCCACCUGUACCUCUCAUUGAAGACCUGUUAACAUCACCAGAGUAUGUUCAUUCUGAUACCCCUAUGGUAUGGUUACAGCAUGCAUUAUCCCUGAAUCCAUUAAAAGAGCUGCAUUGGCAAUGAAACAACCCAAUGUGGUCGAUUGUAAGGAAAUAUAGCAUAUCAGCUUCCAACUUUGGUGCAGUUCUCAGUUCUAAGCAAAGGCGAUUGACAUUGUCACUGAAGAAACAGCUGAUGUCGGCUUACAAUCUGGAGUCCAUCAAGGCUGUUGCAUGGGGUAUCACUCAUGAAGAUGAUGCUUUGAGAAAGUAUGAAAAGGACUUUGAUGCAGCUGUAGAGCAGUCAGGAUAUGGUUGCAUGAAUCCGGAGUGUUGGGAGCUUCACCUGAUGGCUUAGUUGUUCGACCACCAACAUGCAGUGUAUUUUAUCAAACUCCAGAAGCCAAAGACGCCAUUCCUGAUAUUGUACAGGUGAAGUGUCCAUAUACAGCAUCGUCUUCAACAGUAGCAGAUGGGGCACAAAAUUUGAAGGAUUUUUCAUAGAUCUUAAACAAGAUACCCUGUGCCUGAAAACCAGUCACCCAUACUAUCAUCAAAUUCAAGGCCAGCUACACAUAUGUAACAAAACAUUCUGCGACUUAAUUGUGUGGACAAGAGUAGACUGCAUUGUGAUUAGAAUAGUAAAAGACAUUGAAUGGACAGCAAAUGUUCCAAAGCUGAUAGAUUUCUACAUUAACAUUUUCAUUCCAGCACUGAUGGAAAACUGAGUUCUGGUUUGAACUUCUUGACACUUAGUUUUGUACCUCUAGAAUUUUCUAACAAUGGAAAAUGGGUAAUCGUGUUAAAUUUGUUGAAUGUUCCCAAGUCUCAUAAAUGUAUGAUAUGAUAUGUCACAAUCCAAUGAAUCCAUCAUAAAACUUCUGGCUUAUAAGACUAUUUUAAAUAGCAAUGAUGAUUAAUAAAAUCUAUGUACUACAUAAAAAAAGAAUAUCAAAAUUUAGAAUCAUUUUAUUAAUGAAUUGAAGAUGUUAUUCUCAAAGUGAAAAUGUAACAUUUUUGUCUUUCUUAAUAGAUAAAUUGUUGAAAACAUGAA